rnacentral:rRNA from 1 species
UUGUACACACCGCCCGUCACACCAUGAGAGUUUGUAACACCCAAAGCCGGUGAGGUAACCUUUUAGGAGCCAACCGCCUAAGGUGGGACAGAUGAUUAGGGUGAAGUCGUAACAAGGUAGCCGUAGGAGAACCUGCGGCUGGAUCACCUCCUUUCU